UUCGCUGCCAGCCGUGGGCCUAUUGCCUACUUUCGGUUUCACAUUCACCAGGUUUUUGCGCAAGUACAUGUGAGGAAAAUCAGGAAGUAUGUACGUCAAGCCUACUACUAGGGUGCGGUUCCGGUGGUUAGAAAAGUGUUUAUUUUCUCAACUAUACAUGUUAAAGUUAGGACAAGCUGAUCGUAGAUCUGCAAUAAACCCACGGUUUGCAACGAACAAUAAGGUUGGAACUACAAAUAUUUUAGCAGGAUAAACCAGUGUGAAGAUCAUCAAGAAAGUUACAUCAUACUUUUGUUCUACCCUUGGCAGCGAUGGCAGCUCAGCAGCUGCAUGGAUUGAGGACCAAAUUCAUUGAGAAGGUGUCAAAGGCCGUUCUAGAUCAACUGAUGGAUGACCUCUUAGAAGACAUGGUGCUGAACGAUGGAGAAAUCGAGGAGAUAAAGGAGAACAACAUGCUGAGGGCGGAUAAGGCUCGCCAACUUAUUGAUAGUGUGCGCAGGAAAGGCAACACAGCCAGUGAGAAGUUUCUCAUACGACUCCAGGAAAGAGACAAAAAUGUCUACAGUGAGCUUAACCCCCAGGUGUAGCCAAUAUGGAUGAGAGAAAAAGUGUCUGACUCUUGACCCUCUCUUGAAAGACCUGGAGGUGCCACCCAGAGAGCCUCUUACAUUCCUUUUGACCAAGGCCUCAUAAUUAAAUGUCUUAAUGUACGGUAUUUUUUAAACAAAUGAAAUAUCUAUAUUUUUCACAAGAAUGUUUAAUAUAGAAUAAAUAUAUAUACAAACUAAAUAUAUAUAUUUUUACAAUGUUUUUCUACUGAAUUUUUUAAAUCUAAUAAAUACUUUAUUUCCUGUUAAUUUUUUUUUUUAUCAUUCUUGCCUUUUAUCCUAGCAUCAAAUAUUAGAUGAAUCGGCUAGGUGAGCCCCAAACAUAACUGAUUACAGCGAAUGCCACACUAACAAAGCACUUCCCUUACAUGCUUCUUGCAGUGGAAAAACAAAAUACAUACCUUAUACCUCAGAUUCUCCUGGCUAGUGGAUUUGAUUAGAUAGCAUCAUCAGUGUGUGCAGUGAAGUGGGUUGAGGCUGAUCCCCUCAAAGAUCUGCUGGGUACAGUAUAGCGACUCUGUACCGGCUGAUUUCCCACCAAGGCCUUCUGUGUUUUUGUUGACCUAAUUAUUCAGUGCAGACAACAUCCCUCUAGAGGAAAUGUUCCCCUGUGUUCCUAGCCAGAUGGAAUGUCCUGUAAUCUCUUUAAAAACAGUAAGCGUAUCAAACAAUGAAUUAACAAACUAGUAAAUAGCAAAAAAUAUGAUACCAUAGGUGAUCAAAUAUGUGUGUAUUUUCACUUAGCAUUGCACAGUAACUGCAGAUCUAACAUUGAAUUGAUCUGACAGUGCUCUAUUCCAAUGAAUAGUUAUUUCCCAACAGUUCAAUAAAAAUGAGUUGCUGCACACUGC